GGUUGCAGACUCAAUACUAAAAGGAAGAUGUGGAUGUGGGGGGCAUGGGUCCCCAGAGGGAAGUUAUGUUAGUACCUGAGAGAAGGAGCCACUGAUGGCUUGCAGAAGGGUUCAAGGCAGGGCCCGUGUCAGUGAGGAGGUGCGCAUACGCUCACAUGAUGGCCACCUACGGUGUGGAGAGAUGCCCACCAAGGGUACAGAACCAAUGCCCGUGGCAGCAGCAGGUGGCAGAAGGGGCCUUCCGCCCAGGACAACCACAGUGGAUUAGGGAGCAGGCACCACCUUUAUUUUGGGGGACCACACACACUUCCCUUUCAAGUGCCAGUCCCUUGAAGGAGGGGAAAGAGCCCAGGCUUGGGUGGGGGGAAGGAGGGAGGAGUAAGUGCUCAGCUGGAUAGGAGUCGAUGGGGAAGAAACAAAGACGUGUGUCGCUGCCUACAUCUUUAACAAGUGCCUUGGAACACAUCCAGCCGUCACAAUUGUCCAAAUUUUACUCCAAAUCCAAUCUGUGACUCCUAUUGUCUUCUUCCACUGGGGGACACUUAGAAAGACGUAACAGAUGGCUGUGUGUGGCAAUAGUGUUCCUUCCCCACUGCCAGGAGUGAGUUGUUUUUUUUUUCAUCGAUGCCUUUCUCUUUCAUCCAAAAAUAAUUUUUCUUCAUAUCAAAAGCAAUACAUUGUUUUGAUAUCGUAGAAAAGCAUAAAGAAGAAAAUUUAAAUCUCCCACAAUGCUACCAGCCCAGAGACAACCACUGCUAAAAUUUUACUGCACUUUCUGCCCGGUUUCUCCCCCGUGCAUGGGUUAGUGUCUUUGGCCAAAUACGUACGUCUUUCAGGUCCCGCUGCCCAGGUGUACUGAUGAGCCUAUACUAAACUUUUCUGAUUCCAGGCCCUUCAUGCAGCAGCAGACAAAGCUGGUGGGGGGACAGUGUGGGACAUGAGUCAGAGAGAACACUAAUCCACCCAUAAGGGACUUAAAUACCAUCUUCUCAGCAGAUUCCUGAUCAGCCACAGACCUGAUCUGACCAUAAGCAGUUUAGAUUACAUUCCGCUGGUUCCAAAUGUUUGUUGGAACUGGUGUGAUAUUUGUCCAUAAAAACAAAAUUAUAAAUGGUGGUUAGAUUUGCAGGCCAUAAAGCUCAAGAUGACCAGCGGUGGAACUGAGAGAUCGUUGAUAACUGUUCUGAUCACAGAUUCCUCUUAAGCCCUUCUGAAAUCGUCCCUCGGAGACCUGAAUCCCGGAUGUCUGAGUCUUGACCACUCCCCUUGUCUACCCUAAAUUUUCAGAGGGUAGGAGGACUCAGGUGGGAGAGUCACAGCGUCAUUCACAAGUCCAGCACUGCUAAUUAGGGAGUCGGUAUUGAAACCGUGGGCUUUGGAGACAGCCCUGCCUGGGUUCAAAUCCCAGCGCUGCCUGGAAUUAGUUAUGUGAGUCUGGGACGCUCGCUUAACCUCUUUGAGUCUAUUUUCUCGCCUAUAAAGUGGGAAUCAUAAUGCAUAUUCCUAAGGAUUUCUGUGAAGGUUAGAGAAGAUAGGACGUGAAUUCUUGGACUCGAAAAUGACAAUAUCCCACAGAUUCCCACCAUUGAUUUAAAUUACUGAAAUGAGGACCUUUCUUAAAUAUCGAUAAAUACACUCUUUACAACUAUACGACCAAAGGCAAGAGUACAAGUCGAGAAAAACCAACAGAACUAAAGUUGGCUCUUGUGAUUAAUGCUGUUAUUUUGCUGAAAUUAAUCCGGCUUCUUGAAACACCAGUUUCUAGGACGGGGUUCUUUUGAGCCGGGCAUCCCGAACCCACCAUGUGCCGCGCGAUGGUUCAACUUGCCGACAACCUUUCUCGGGUCUGGACAUUGUAACCUGGAGGGCUGUAGGCUACGUGUGGCCCAUGGAUGGACGUGUUUCACCUGACCCUCAUAGGAUUCAUUUUUUCCAAUUAGCUGCCGUUAUAAAAGAAUGAAGAUAUUACACCUAAAAUGCGCUGUUCCCGCUCCUCUUGAAAGGCUGGAAGAGCCAGCCCUGCAGGACUGCAGGGUCGGGGGGGUGAAUGGCAGUCCCCUGUCACCUGAGCUGGGCUUCCCAACUCCACUCUCCUGGCUCUUCCCAUGUGCGUAAGCUGCCAGCCUCUGUGGGAUUUGCUCUGGGACCUCUUCCUCUGUGACUUACACCCGUUCCUCAGCAGCCCGUGACGGCCAAACAGCAUUUCAAGACACCCCCAAAAGGCAAAAAGACACCUAAAUAGCACUCCAGUCUUCAACAGAGCUGGGUGCAGAAACAAACCACCAGUUCAUGCAGUGUGAGUUUUUAAGGGUAUUUACACAAGAGAAACGAAAACGAAUGCCCACACAAGGACCAGGACACAAAUGUUCACAGAGCAGUCUUAUUCAUAUGAGCUAAAAACUGGAAACAACACAAAUGUCCAUCAGUGGGUGAGUAGAUAAAUAGGGCAUAUCUAUGAAGCAGAACACUGCUAGCAAUAAAAAGGAACACGCUGCUGAUAUCCGUCAUUACACUGAGUCAAAGAAGCCAGAAGCAAAGGGUACAUAUUAUAUAAUGCCAUUUAUAUAAAAUUCUAGAAAAUGUAAAUUAAUCUGUGCGGUGACAAGACAGAUCAGCAAUGUGGAGCCCAGGGGUGGAGGAGGAAAUUACCACAUGGGGCAUAAGGAGACUUUGGGGGGCAAUGGAAAUGUUCUAUGUCUUAAUCGUGGCUGUGAUUUCACACAUGUGUAUUCCUGUUAAAAGUCACCAAAGCGCACACUUUAAAAGGGUGUAGUUCAUUAUAUGUAAUUACAUCUCAAUCCAGUAGAAGAAAUCUAAUCACUUAAAUUAACAAAGGGCUUUCACUUGAAUCAGGUUUGUUGAAAAAUUGAGCAUUAGGACUAAAGAAAAGCCGGAUCUGGAGGAGAAUAUGUAUUAGAAGCUAUCAAAAUGAUUUUUUGGUCCAGCGUUUCCACAUCAGGAAAUUGAUUUUAAGGAAAUCACAAGAAUGUCCAUCCUCAUAUUACUCAUAAAGGACAAACUGAAAUGACCUAACGGUUAAUAAAGGGCAUUAUGGCAUACACAUAUGCUAUUCCAUUAUCUAACAUGAAAAGUCAUGUUAUUUAAGGGUAUUUAUUGACACAGACUUUUACAAUACACUAACAAGGGGAAGGGGGAGUCUGUUUACCAACACACAUAUACGGUAUGAUCCCAUCUUUAAAAAAUAUCAUUAUGUCCCUAAAUACAUAGAAGUCUGGGUGGUAGUAGUCACAUGGGUGGGUAUGACAUCCACAUGGGUGGAUCCAACAUCUGUUCUCUCUUC